GGAAGCGUGGCCGAGUGGUUUAAGGCAGUGCUCUUGAAAAGCACCGAGGCAGGAAUGUCUCCGUGAGUUCGAAUCUCACCGCUUCCGCCA
rnacentral:tRNA from 1 species